GUUUAGCUUUUCAAUAAUUGAUGCCCUGCUAAGAUAAUCUUGUUUUGCUACCCCAAAUCUAAUUCUCAAUAUUUGAAAUUAAUCAGAGAGAUCGAGAGAGCAAUUUCAUUACCAUACGAUUGAAUUCUGCAGCAAAUCUCUCUUUGUAAAGCCAUGGAAGGAGUGUCUUCAGCAGCCAUUGAAGUUCUUGUCCAAAACCUGACCAACCUUUUGAGGGAUGAGUACUCUCUGCUUCGAGGUCUCGAUGAAGAUGCACAGCAGCUGCUGAUGACUUUGAGGAUGAUUCAAGCCUACUUGAAUGAUUUUGAGAAGAAAUCCAUCACACAAGAUGCUGUCAAGAUCUGGUUGAGGGAACUUGAUGCCGUGGCUUUCAAUGCUGACAAUGUCUUGGACGAACUCAACUAUCAUCUUCUCCACAAAAAAGUGAAGAAAAUGAAGACACCCCAAGCCAAAGAUAAGGUACGAUCAGGCUUCUCAUCCUCUAAUGACAUUUCACGUCGGCGUAAUAUGGCUAUCACAAUCAAACAGCUCAAUGCGGAAUUUGAAUGUGUGAAAGAAAUGGCAACAGAUCUUGGCCUUCAAAGCAUGUUUGUGAAUGCACCUGCUGCUGUUGCUCAUAGUUCCUUUGAGACGGAUUCGUUCAUUCUUGAUCCAAUCUUUAUUGGAAGAGACGACGAUCUGCCUAAAGUAGUUGACAUGUUUACCCAAAUCCAUGAUGAUCGGAUCUUCUCCAUCCUUGCUCUUGUCGGAAUGGGGGGUAUGGGGAAGACUACGUUGACUAAAAAAGUCUUUAAUCAUGAAGGGGUAAAAGCUCGAUUCGGAUCACGUAUUUGGAUUCAUGUUUCUCCAACUUUUGAUCCAAUCAUUCUUUUUAGCAAAAUACUUGAUAAGUUGACUAGAAGGAAUAGUGAUGGAGUUGAGAGCAGAGAUGAUAUUCUGAAAAAGAUUCAAGAAGCUCUCAAGACUAAAACUUAUCUUCUUGUCCUUGACGAUGUCUGGAAUGAAGAUGUUCCGAAAUGGGAAGACUUUAUAAACUCCAUGAUAGGAGCUACUUCAACUGAAGGAAAUGGCAUUAUCAUCACUACCAGGAGUGAAAGGGUUGCUGCGAUUGUUAACCCAUUUUACAUUCAUCAUUUGGAUGGCUUAUCAGAUGAAGACUGUUGGUCCAUAAUCAAAGCCAAAGCUUUUGCUGAAUAUGGAGAAGUUCCAUUAGAAUUCAAGAUGAUUGGAAGAAAGAUUGCUAAAAGAUGCCAGGGUUUACCCUUAGCUGCCAAUGUAGUUGGGAGUGUGCUACGCCGCUGCGAGUCCGAACAAGAGUGGCGUUCCAUCAAUGAAAAUUGGAUUUCAUAUGGUGAAGGAGGUGAAAGUAUCUUAAGGACAUUGAAAUUGAGCUUUGAUCACUUGUCUUCACCGUCACUCAAGAAGUGCUUUGCGUAUUGUUCGAUUUUUCCCAAAGAUCGAAAAAUGGAGAAGGAGGAGUUGAUUGAACUAUGGAUGGCAGAAGGGUUUCUUCAACCUAGCCAAAGUGAUGACAUGGAAUCCGUGGGCGACAUGUUUUUUAAUGUACUUCUACAAAACUCUUUGUUGCAAGUUGCACAUAAAGAUAAUUAUGGAAAUGUUUGGUAUUAUGUGAUGCACGGUCUUGUGCAUGAUCUUGCAUCGUUUGUUUUAUCCAAUGAUGCAGAUGGCAGUACCAUAGUUCGAUUCAUGUUUCACAAAGAAGAAUCAAGUUCUAUUAGUGAACAAGUGGCCAAGCAUUUGCGUACAUUAUUCUUCGAAGGUGGAACUUCUGGUACUAUAUCUUCUGGUACUAUAUUCUCGGACUUUAAAUAUUUGCGUAAUCUAAUUCUUUCCGGUGAUAAUUGUAAGGAGUUGCCCACUUCAGUUAGAAAGUUGAUACAUUUGAGAAACCUUGAUAUUUCAAAUACAAGUAUUGGAAACUUGCCGAAGUGGAUUGACGAACUCUAUCAAUUGCAAACAUUAAGAGCAUGUAAGUCGCAUUUGGAGAAACCGAAACUACCAAGUAUGUUGAGGCAUCUUUAUAUUAAGUGGAAUACAGAUUUGCCUGCAGAGAUUGGGAGAUUAACUUGUCUCCGAACACUGCCAUACUUUAGAGUGGGCAUAGAAAAAGGCUAUCAAAUUGAAGUUCUUGGACGUUUGAAGCAUCUUAGAGGAAAACUAGAGAUUGAUAAUCUGGAGAACUUGCGUGAAAAGGGAGAGGCUCUGAAAGCAAAUAUGUUUCAGAAGUCAAACUUAUCUGAAUUGGUGUUAAGAUGGGAGGCAGGCAAAGAAGGCGUACGAAAUGAUGAGGCUGUGUUGGAAGGCCUCCAACCUCAUGAAAAUGCAAAUCUGCAGAAGUUGACAAUUUCAGGAUUUCAAGGCAAAAGAUUUCCAGCAUGGACUCAGGAUAUGACAGGGUUGAUUGCGAUCACACUCAGUAGCUGCCAAGAAUGUGAAGAAAUCCCAACACUGGGACACUUGCCAAAUCUCAAAUCUCUUAGAUUGAGGAGAUUGAGCAAUGUGAGGUCGAUAAAUUCUUCAUUCCAUGGGACUGGGAAUGGCGAAGGAGUCAUCUUUCCAGCACUCGAAAGUAUCUUACUGUUAGAAAUGGCUGUCCUGAACGAGUGGAAAAUAGAAUUUUCCAAUGAAGUGACAGCAUUUCCACGCCUUAAGUCCUUGAAAAUGUACCACUGUUACAAUUUGGAAUGUCUGCCAGACUUGUUAUUCCGUGAUACCCUUCAUCUAUCGGAGUUGGAUAUAAGGCAUUGCUCCAAGUUGAAAGAAUUACCAGACGGUCUACACGCCCUCAAUUAUUUAGAGCAGAUGAUUAUUAGAGGCUGUCGAGAGCUGACGAAAAUGGUUGAGCCAUUUCCAAGUGGUUGGGGGAGUUUAAGUUCCCUCCGUAGUUUGGAGAUUCGUGAUUGCCAAGAGCUGACGAAAAUGGUGGAGCCAUCAGCGCCUUCGCUCACCAAAGUGUGUGUGGUGGAUCUAAAGAGUGUUCAGAAUCUACCCAAGUUUCUUGAUUGCUUGGCCGAAUCACCUUUGCUAGAGCAACUGACCGUUGUUAGUGUCCCUGAAGUCACCUUGUCCACUUCUACUGUCAAAAUCUGGCCAUUCGACAGCUUGAAAAAAUUGGAGAUGGACGUUAGCAUGCAGUGGUCAAAAGAGAAUAAUGAAGCCAUUAAAGUGAGAGUUGAUGGCAUAUUGAAAAACUGCCACUCUUCACUUUGUGAGCUAUCUUUGACAGGUCUAGAAAUGUGGGAUUCUUUGCCAGACUCAAUGCAACAUUUCAUUGCUCUUUACAGUUUAGAGUUGGAGAAUUUUGGAGUAAAAGCAUUGCCUAAAUGGUUUGGAGGCCUCUCAAAUCUAGAAAGGUUGUGCCUAUCAGAUUUUACAAACUUGAGGAGUCUUCUUCCCUCAAUGCGGAGCCUCACCAAAUUACAGGAGUUGCACAUUCGCGAUUGUCCACAGUUACGGAUUGAAUCUGAGAGGCACAAGAUCUUGAAUCGCAGCACCAAUAUCUACGUUAAUGGCCACAAGCGUUAGAUCUGUUGCUCAAUUGGCUUCAUCUUGUUCUUUUUCGGGAAUGGACCCCAACACCUUAGUGUGCUAAUUUAAUGCUAUCCAUCCAUAAUAAGCUUCCUCCACACCUGUGAUAGUCCCAUUCCUUUUUGCACAAGAGAGGCGACCUCUUCAGGACCAGCCAAGCAUUCUCAAGCAGCCAUUCAGAAUCUGAACUCCUCCAGCUGUAGCAUGAAGAAAAAGAGAGACUGGGCAGCAUGCCCUGACAGUGGCGGAUCCAGGAUCUGGAAACGGAGGGGGCAGAAUAUAUAGUAUUAGCUUGAUGUAGUGCGCACAUGACUAUUUUUUUUAUUGUUCGGGGCGACGCCGGAGCCAAACGGAGGGGGCGGACAUGGUAAUUUUACGUCCCGAUAAGGGAAAAAUAGUCGCACGGAGGGGGCGACCGCCCCCUCCUGCCCCCCUAGAUCCGCCACUGUGCCCUGACACUCGCAGAUCGAUGACUGGGUAUUGUUUAUUUAUGGGAACUUCUUUAAUAUCUUGGAGAGCUAAGAAACAAGAUACCAUCUCGAGGUCAUAGGCAGAAUACAGAGCCAUGGCUCAAGCUAGUUGUGAAGUAGUAUGGGCAAGAACACUACUUCAAGAUGUUGGAGUACCAAGAAAGAAGGUCGUUCCUCUAUACUGCUAUAAUCAAGCAGCGGUGCAUAUUUGUUCCAACCCGGUAUUUCAUGAACGCACCAAGUACAUCGAAAUUUAUUGCCACGCGGUGAGAGAAAAGUUUCUGGAAGGAACCGUCAAACCUAUGCAUAUAUAUAUUCGACACAUUGCAGCUUGCAGAUCUUCACUAAACCUCUCGGUGCAGUGGCUUUUCAAGGUGUCUUGACCAAGAUGAAUUCAAGAGUUUGUACAGUCCAUCUUGAGGGGGGAUAUUGAAGAAUGAAAAAGAGAUAGAAGCGAAGAUCAACGUGAAGAAUAAAGAGAAACACGUAGCAGUGACUGGCAAAUAAGUUGACCGUUAGAGUUAGUUAUAAGGGUUUUGAUUAUGUAGGAUCAAGCCCAUGUAUUAGCAUGCACUCGUGCACAUGCAUAU